rnacentral:lncRNA from 1 species
UGCGGAGGCCGUGGAUCGCCUGGUGGAUGCCUUUCGGGGAGGCAUCAGGUGGAGAUCUAACAGGAGAAGGAGAAGAAGAUGUCAGAGAAGAUGACCAGAGACAGUCCCAUUGAGCACUCCUUUAAGAACAAGGAUACUGCGAAGACACAGUGUCCUUCCUCUAGCGCCAAUUCUGUUGGUACAGAAUUCUGCCGACGUCGGAGAAGCUGGAGUCGAGGGGAUCGCAUCCG